GCAAACAUCAUUGUAUUACUUGGGAUAAAGGUGGGGACCUGUGAAAAUACCCCAGUGGAACCAGACAACUGAAACAAUAGCAGUCGCCAACAGGACAUUUGAAAUACAUACCAGUGUGGAGUGAAGUGCAGAGUGCCCCUCUUCCACCUCAGCUGCCCUCCAGGAUGAGCUGAGCCUAACUGAGCCUGUGUGUCCCUGUGUGUCUCUGCUGCCUGGAGUUGUCAGAGAGGGUUGAUCUCAGCAACAUCACUGUUAGAACUUGUGCAGACAGAUGCAGCUUGGGUUGGAUCAUCCAAAUGCAUCCUAGACUGGGUGUGUUGGCUGAAAUCCAUUGCAGCACUCACAGAAGCCCUCUAGAUGGGAAAGCAC